GAUGAAGAACGUAGCGAAAUGCGAUAAGUAAUGUGAAUUGCAGAAUUCAGUGAAUCAUCGAAUCUUUGAACGCACAUUGCGCCCGUCAGUAUUCUGGCGGGCAUGCCUGUUCGAGCGUCAUUACGCCCCUCAAGUCCCCUGUGGACUUGGUGUUGGGGAUCGGCGAGGCUGGUUUUCCAGCACAGCCGUCCCUUAAAUUAAUUGGCGGUCUCGCCGUGGCCCUCCUCUGCGCAGUAGUAAAACACUCGCAACAGGAGCCCGGCGCGGUCCACUGCCGUAAAACCCCCCAACUUUUUAUAGUUGACCUCGAAUCAGGUAGGAAUACCCGCUGAACUUAAGCAUAUCAAUAAGCGGAGGA
rnacentral:misc_RNA from 1 species